UUUUUUUUCUUGAGAUUUUAUCUAUUUAUUUGAGAGAGAGAGAGCAUAUGGGGAGGGAUGGGCAAAAGGAGAGGGAGAAGCAAAAUCCAUGUUGAGCAGGGAGCCUGAGGAGGGCUCAAACCCAGAAUCCUGAGAUCAUGACCUGAGCUGAAGGCAGACACUUAAAUGACUGAGCCACCUAGGCACCCCAAGGUUUGUAAAUGAAGAUUUUUGAGUAGUGGAUGGAAUGACAAGAAGAGGCUAUGGGGAGUAAAGGGACACUGGGGGUGAGAAGAUUGUCAGACAGGAGCCAUGGUAGUAUCAGAAGUUGGAAGGGAGAGAAAAACAAUUAGGAAAGGCAAGUAGGAUAAGGUGACAACUUGAGAAUCAACAAAGGAGAGGGAAAAGCAGAGAAGAAAGAUAAGGGAGGAGACAAAGAUAAAACCCAGAAGUCAAAUGUAAUUAGAAGACUGUGAUUCCAUGGGGGAAAGAAACAUGUCUAACCCCAAAGUCAUUACACAUAGUGGCCAGGUCUAUCCUCUUCUCUAAAAGGGAAGGCAAGAUUAGGGUCCCUGGGUGGCUCAAUCAGUUAAGUGUCUCGCUCUUGGUUUCGGCUCAGGUCAUCAUCUCAGGGUCAUGAAAUGGAGCUCCAAGUUGGACUCCUGGCUGAGCACAGAAUCUGCUUCAGGUCCCUUCCUUCUCCCUCUGCCCCUCCUGCUCAUGCUCUCUCUUUCCUUCUAAAAUAAAUAAACCAAUCUUUAAAAAAUUUUAAAUAAAAUAAAAGGGAUCCUAGAGUUUCCAAAUGCUCAGGCACCUUCAUGUGAUGUUCCACAUCUGGAGAGGCAUAUUCAGAGACCUUUAUGAUCACCAUCCUAUUAUCUGAGAAGCAAUUAAGUAGAAGUUUAAAAGUAGCUUUUCUGCAUAAGGAGAUGAGUGUUAUCCCAUCUAAUCUAGAACCAGGGGAGACUUCACCCCUCAGCUAAAAUUUCUUAUUCUUUUUUUUAAUUUCUUAUUCUUUAAAGAGAAGAUAUUUCUGAAGUUUAGUGUAAUCAGUCCUCCGUAAAAUUGAUAAUUUGGCUAGAUAGUCUUUGAGAUAUCAAAGAGAAGGUGACUUCAACAAUACAGCAAUCCAAAAUGUGUUAGUUCACAGGCAUGGCUCAAGGAAGUACUCAGACAUGAUUUUCAUGAUUAUUUCAAAAACACAAAAAUAAGGCAAACUUCCCACUUAUACCUCAAACUGAAAAAGAAGUCACUAUCUUAAUGCAGGUCAAAUAAAUUUUCUUGAAACAGAUAAAGAAAAAAAAAAACAGAUAAAGAGGUGUGAUGAGGUUAAAAGAUCCCUCCAAAAAAAUCUUCUGUAUUCCUUUCAAGUCCCCUGAACAACAAUGAAAUAUGCAGAAGAAGGAAAGAUACCAGCUGCUCUCUACACGAGUUUGAGAGUGUGAAUGAAAAGCUCUGUAGUCAUCAUCUCCAUGGGGGGGAAAACCCUCUGAUUUUAGUAAUGUCUUGCCAUGCACACAAGUUAUUUUUUGAAAAGGUUUCUAAGCUUGUCAAAAUAUUCCUAGGUGUGAGUUUAGUGUUUUUUGAAAAACAGAAGAGGCAGGAAGCAAAAGGCAAACCCUUACAACCGUUUGGCCUUUCUUGUUCACAUUUGAAAUAACUGUCAAAUAAGGAAGAGAGAAAAUUCCUUAUCUGUAGGGAUUGUGCUCACAUAUUUUUGCUAAUGAUGAUGUUAUCAUUUAUAGGGUCUGUUAUUCCCCCUCUCUGAUUAUUUGAUUUCUUCCCAUUUAUGGAAGCUCAAAAGCAAACAACCUUCUUACUAAGCCAACUUCCUUGUUUGUUGUCAACUAACUUUCUGUGAAACUAAAAGUAGGUUUCUGUUUUGUUUCUUGUUUUACUCAUUUGGUAUUUAAGUUAUUAAUAUAUUAUUUGGCACUCAGAUUAUAUUUUCCCUACAAGUUUACUGAUACCUUACACCUACUUCAUUGGCUCCCUCUCCCAUGGCUUUGCAUAUGGCACUGUUCAAUAAGAUUGCACUGGCUGAUUCUCAUGAAGCAAAACAAGUGGAAGAUAAGCUGGGUUAUAAAACAUGGCUGAAUGCCUCUAUCCUUUCCUGCCAUCAACACCACAUCCCCCCCAAAUCCAAAUAGAUACUCAAACCAUGAAACCAUAUUUUUUGUUGAUUUCUUUCAUUGUGUUUAUGGUUGCUGUCAUAUCAUGACCAGGAAAAAAAAUUAGCUAUGCAGAAUGUCCUUACUUUAUAAGUUUUGCUGUCCCUACAUGUCUGGGACAGUUAAUAAUGCAUAGGUUAAAAGAGAUAUAUUUUAAACAGCUGCUUAAUGAUUCUACCUGCCUUAUAUCCAACCUUUACUGAGAAAACACAUUUUUAACAAGAUGUACAAAAAAAGGGCUCAUAUGACAAAGAGAAAUCAAGGAAUAUGAAAGGCAAUAUCAUACAAAAUAUUGUUUUCAUGCAAAUGAUCCUGUUUCUUACACAAACUUCAAGUAUUUUCUAAGUUAACCCUUCCCUUCCACAGGCACUACAUCUUAGUAACUACUAAGAGAAUUUUUGCUUAAGCACCAAGUAACAAUAAAAAUCUAAGAGAUUUGCUCUUAGGUAAAGAGUAUAAUUAUUUACAGUACAAUAAAAUAUGCAAGAUUCUAUACAUACACAUGGAUAUAUUGAAAUUUCAGAGAAGAGAGAAAAAGGAUCUUAAGUUCAACUCUUCACUCAUCAUCAUUCUUCAUCUUGAUGGGAUUUGUAAUGAUGUUGCUAACUAGGAGAGGCUGAGGCAGGGCAAAGUCAAUUACCACCUUUACCAGGAGUAAGUAAAGGUUUCCUUUUUCACAUGAGCCUUCAAGUCACCUUACUUUAUGCCAAUCUUCAGGGCGAAGAGUUAAGAUGGUAAACAGACUGAGGGAAGGUCAAGCAAUUUUUCUUACUAAGUGGAAGCUGAGACAAAUGAAAGUUCAGAUGGUAAAAGUGAUUUAUUUGAAAUAUUGCAGCAGAUGUUGGCAAGUUUCAUAAGGAUCUAUCCAGCCUCUUCCCUCUGACCUAUUAGAUACCAUUUGCCUCUGUAUAACACAGGAAAACUUUGUUUUCAAAGGAACUUACCAUUUCAUUUCAAGUGUAUUUAGUCUACAGCAAUUUCCAAUUAUUCUGAGAUUGCUUCAACUCACUUGAACACUGGUGCUGCUUUAAUCAGAGAAUGGUUAGCUAUUAUUUCGCAAACACACAUGAUACCCAGCACCCCACACUCUUCCCAAGUGUAACUGAAAGCAUUAUCUUAUUUUCUCUCUAGAGGACUCUUCCAGGAAAGUUCUCUCUCUCUCUCUCCACCCCCCUCUCUCUAUAUAUAUGAGAAAUAUAUAUAUAUUUAAGAUGGCAUGGUUUGUCUGAUAUAUCCUGUUCAAGGAGUUAUGCACAGGUUUAUUUAAAAGAAUGUGAUAAAGAUAUUAACAUCAGUUUUCACUCGGUUGAAUGGGACUAUAUUCAGUUAGACCUCCCAUGAAGAUAGGUGUAGCUAUGAGUUUUCUCUCUAACUCAUGUACCUACUGUUCUUCUCCCUAAUCUCUACCAGGAAAUCUUCAUUUUUUAAGUUUCUAUUUAAAUGUCAACACCAUUGUGAAGCCUUCUCUACCUGUAUCUGGCACAACUGGUUCUGUGUUCCCACUCCAUUCAUACAGAUGUAAGACUUGCCAAGCUGUUGUUAUAAAUGUGUACUUCUCCCUCCAGAAUACUAAUUUUUUUUCAGAAAAGGUGUGUGAACUAUUCCUCAUCUGAAUUCUCAUUUACAAUUUAUAAAUUAAGAUCUAUGUGUUUUCCCAGAUCACAUUCAAAAUUUCAUGAGGCUUUACAUUCAUAGAAAUAGACCUUUACUUAUGGCUCAUUAAAUAACUGUUCAUCUCUAUGGAGAACACCUAAUACUUUAUAGAGUUACAGAUAGAGUAUUAGACUUUUCAUCCAGGAGUCCAAACUUAUUUCAGUAUUUUUCAUUUUAAAGUUAAAAUUUAACUAAUUUUAUUAGGAAAACAAUAAAAAGAGGUAUGAAUAUAAAUUACCUCCACAAACCUUGAAAGUUGAGGAAAAGUCUUCAUUUUAUACAUACACCUUUCAGUAAAUGCUAACACAACUCAAGAAUGUGUGAUGAUUCUGCAGUGCCCAUCCCAUCAAAUGCAAAGUGGUCUAUGCUUCUUAUUAAUACUUGCAUCUCUGAAGCAUAUGCCCUCAAUUUAAAAUGAGAGAAAUGAUCCAAGGGCAGAUGUUUCUCUGUGUUAAUUUUUUAACUUUGCCAGGCAUAUAGUUCCUAGCACAGACAAAAGAAAGGUUAAGCUCCACUUCUCAAGUGAUGACCAAGAAAGUAUAAGAUCACAAGUUACAGAGACGAAUGAUGAUGCCCUGGUGGAGAGGACAAAGGACUGGGAAUGGGAAAAUUUUGGUUUCCUUCCUACCUCUACUCUUGACCAGAUGUGGAAAUGAGAAAAUCACUUUGCCUCAGAAUGCUGUUUCUUAUUCUGUGUAAUAAAGGAGAUGGCUAAGUGAUCUGUAGGAUUUGAUACAAUCUAAGAGAUUGUAAUUUCAGUUGGAUUUUCUCUAGAUCUUUUCUUUGCAGCUCAAAAUUCUGCAUAUCCCAUAUUCUACCUCCUAUCACCCUAACACAAACUCCCUUCCCCCAAUACCAGGCUGCCAGUGUAAGAACCACAAGAAAUGUCUUUAAAGAAAAAAAAAAAAAGAGAGAGAGAAAAUCAUCAUGGAAGAAUUUAGAGACUCUGCAACUCUUAUCAUCUCUCCUUAGUGAUCUUAAUUAUGCAUCAAUCAACCCCAGCUCAAAUGAGAGAUUAGAAAAUGGGACUUUUUUUGCUGACCUCAAAGGACAAGAUUAAGAGUCAAGAUCAUCAGAAUCAUUACAGUUGAACAGGUAGUUCUAUCCAAUUAGAGGGAAACCUCAAAAUUUCUAAUCAUUUUCACACAUCAUGUUCAGAACUUUCUAGAAAAAAAAACCCUACAAUAUAAUUUCUAUCCAGAAAAUUGUCUUAUUUAUUUAAAUAACCUUGCAUUCCUAUUAUUUCUCUCCCUUUCUCUCACUGCUUCCCUUCCUCUGAUUGUCCUCACUGUUCCCUCUUUUUUUCUGUGUUCUGGGUUAGAUUGCUCUGGCACAUGAAACCCAUUCUAUAAACCCAUGCCAUUACAUUACCAGGUAGAAGCUGGAAAUGAAUAUUUUUGAUUUACAUCUAGUAGCUGAAUUUCAUUUUCCCCUUGAAAGAAGACCAUUUUCCUAUGAAUAGUAAAGAUAUGUUACUUGAAUUUCUUCUCUGAAAUAUAAAGGGUUAAAAAUAAAAUGAGUAUUUUCAAAUUUCUCUAUUUCAUUAUGAGAUCAUCAGAAAACUAUGAUAUACUUCAAAUAGCCUUACUCGUAAUUUAUCAACACCAGGUCAUUCAUUUUACACUUUAUUUUCAUCUUAAUUGACAUUGAUACCUCUAAAAGUUAGUAUUUAGUAUUUCACUAUUGAAAACAACAAAUUUCAUCAAACAACUUCUUAAUAGUAAGUGAUCAUAAAUUAUAAGUGCCAUACAAAUGUCUUGAAACACUUGAACACUCCCCACAGAAACCAAUGCAACUCCUAAUUUUUAUGGUUUAACCAUUUAUUUCAACACAUACAACUCAAAUGUGUUUAGGAUUCCACUCCAAAAAAAAAAAAAAAAAA
rnacentral:lncRNA from 1 species